rnacentral:rRNA from 1 species
UACAGAGGGUGCGAGCGUUGUUCGGAAUUAUUGGGCGUAAAGGGCGCGUAGGCGGCGCCACAAGUCACUUGUGAAAACUCUGGGCUCAACUCAGAGCCUGCAAGCGAAACUGUGGUGCUGGAGUAUGGGAGAGGUGCGUGGAAUUCCCGGUGUAGCGGUGAAAUGCGUAGAUAUCAGGAGGAACACCGGUGGCGAAGGCGGCCCUCUGGACGGUGACUGACGCUGAGACGCGAAAGCGUGGGGAGCAAACAGG